GAUGAACGCUGGCGGCGUGCCUAAUACAUGCAAGUCGAGCGAACAGACGAGGAGCUUGCUCCUCUGACGUUAGCGGCGGACGGGUGAGUAACACGUGGAUAACCUACCUAUAAGACUGGGAUAACUUCGGGAAACCGGAGCUAAUACCGGAUAAUAUAUUGAACCGCAUGGUUCAAUAGUGAAAGACGGUUUUGCUGUCACUUAUAGAUGGAUCCGCGCCGCAUUAGCUAGUUGGUAAGGUAACGGCUUACCAAGGCAACGAUGCGUAGCCGACCUGAGAGGGUGAUCGGCCACACUGGAACUGAGACACGGUCCAGACUCCUACGAGAGGCAGCAGUAGGGAAUCUUCCGCAAUGGGCGAAAGCCUGACGGAGCAACGCCGCGUGAGUGAUGAAGGUCUUCGGAUCGUAAAACUCUGUUAUUAGGGAAGAACAAAUGUGUAAGUAACUAUGCACUUCUUGACGGUACCUAAUCAGAAAGCCACGGCUAACUACGUG
rnacentral:rRNA from 1 species